rnacentral:rRNA from 1 species
UACGUAGGUGGCAAGCGUUGUCCGGAAUUAUUGGGCGUAAAGCGCGCGCAGGCGGCCUUUUAAGUCUGAUGUGAAAGCCCACGGCUCAACCGUGGAAGGUCAUUGGAAACUGAAAGGCUUGAGUACAGAAGAGGAAAGCGGAAUUCCACGUGUAGCGGUGAAAUGCGUAGAGAUGUGGAGGAACACCAGUGGCGAAGGCGGCUUCUGGU